UACGUAGGGGGCGAGCGUUGUCCGGAAUCAUUGGGCGUAAAGCGCGUGUAGGCGGCCCGGUAAGUCCGCUGUGAAAGUCCAGGGCUCAACCCUGGGAUGCCGGUGGAUACUGUCGGGCUCGAGUCCGGAAGAGGCGAGUGGAAUUCCUGGUGUAGCGGUGAAAUGCGCAGAUAUCAGGAGGAACACCAAUGGCGAAGGCAGCUCGCUGGGACGUGACUGACGCUGAGAGACGAAAGCUAGGGGAGCAAAUGGG
rnacentral:rRNA from 1 species